UCCUGUUUCAAGGCCAUUGAGCUUCAUGUCAUCAACGAUUCAACCUCGGGUUUUAGAGUCAAUCCUCCAUCAAAAUAAAACAAUAUUCACUUUGUAAAUAUUCAAAAAAUAUAGAUCUGAAUUGACCCAACUCUUUCGACGGUUAACAAUGGUGCGUCAAUUCUAACCAGUUUAAUAUUCAAUCAAAACACACCAAACUGUACGGGUAAGUUCAUAUUGAUGUUAAGAGCAAACCCCAAUAUUCAUUUAACCAAAACAUCAACAAAUCAAGGGUUUUAAAUUUUGAUUCCUAGUUUCAAGUUCUUCAAAUUUUUAAUGGUAAAUUUUCAGAUUGAGUCACGAUUUUUCCGUCACUUUUAUCGGUGCACUAUUAUCACUUUCGGUGGAAUGAUGGUGGCAGCCACUUUUAUCGGGCCAAGCUUCGUCAUCACGAGGUGGGGUUCGGAAGGGGCGCGGUUCGCAGAGGUUGCCGAUGGAACGACUGCGAAAUGUGCGGCUGUUUGUUGUUGUUGCCCAUGUGGGCUCGAUGAACCUCCUUGUGCUAACUGGGUAUAAUUUGCCGGCGGUACUUUGCCGGAAAUACCAACGUCGGCGGGUGUCGUGUGAAGAGCGUAGCUUUCUUGCACCAGACUUAGAUUGUGGCACGCCGUCACCAAUUGGGCCAAGAAGAUCACUAGACGAUAGUAACAAUGCAAAUCGAGCGAGUGCUAAUUAGUAAUCAUUGUUUACUAACUAUUCUUCUUGAACAACUAUUAAUCUUUGUAAUUUUAAUACAUUUGAUGAUGUACUUUGGAGUACUGAUAUUUUAUACGAUGAGAAGUGUUAUAGAA